rnacentral:rRNA from 1 species
GUGGGGAAUAUUGCACAAUGGGGGAAACCCUGAUGCAGCGACGCCGCGUGAGUGAAGAAGUAUUUCGGUACGUAAAGCUCUAUCAGCAAGGAAGAAAAUGACGGUACUUGACUAAGAAGCCCCGGCUAACUACGUGCCAGCAGCCGCGGUAAUACGUAGGGGGCAAGCGUUAUCCGGAUUUACUGGGUGUAAAGGGAGCGUAGACGGUAUGGUAAGUCAGAGGUGAAAGCCCGGGGCUCAAACCCGGGACUGCAUUUGAAACUAUCAGACUAGAGUGCAGGAGAGGUAAGUGGAAUUCCUAGUGUAGCGGUGAAAUGCGUAGAUAUUAGGAGGAACACCAGUGGCGAAGGUGGCUUACUGGACUGUAACUGACGUUGAGGCUCGAAAGCGUGGGGAGCAAACAGGAUUAGAUACCCUAGUAGUCC